CAAGUCGAACGGAAAGGCUCCUUGCUUGCAAGGGGUACUCGAGUGGCGAACGGGUGAGUAACACGUGGGUGAUCUGCCCUGCACUUCGGGAUAAGCCUGGGAAACUGGGUCUAAUACCGGAUAGGACCAUGCUUUAGUGUGUGUGGUGGAAAGUUUUUUCGGUGCAAGAUGAGCCCGCGGCCUAUCAGCUUGUUGGUGGGGUAAUGGCCUACCAAGGCGACGACGGGUAGCCGGCCUGAGAGGGUGUACGGCCACAUUGGGACUGAGACACGGCCCAGACUCCUACGGGAGGCAGCAGUGGGGAAUAUUGCACAAUGGGCGCAAGCCUGAUGCAGCGACGUCGCGUGGGGGAUGAAGGCCUUCGGGUUGUAAACUCCUUUCGCUAGGGAAGAAGCCACUUGUGGUGACGGUACCUGGAUAAGAAGCACCGGCUAACUACGUACCAGCAGCCGCGGUAAUACGUAGGGUGCGAGCGUUGUCCGGAAUUACUGGGCGUAAAGAGCUCGUAGGUGGUUUGUCGCGUCGUCUGUGAAAUCCCGGGGCUUAACUUCGGGCGUGCAGGCGAUACGGGCAUAACUAGAGUGCUGUAGGGGAGACUGGAAUUCCUGGUGUAGCGGUGAAAUGCGCAGAUAUCAGGAGGAACACCGAUGGCGAAGGCAGGUCUCUGGGCAGUUACUGACGCUGAGGAGCGAAAGCAUGGGU
rnacentral:rRNA from 1 species